UAGGCUCAAAGUGCCGAAACGAGCUCGAAAAGACUGCAUGGAGUGACUGUCUUAAGCUCUAUGAGUACACCAUUCUUAGGCUUAACAAAACUGUUGAUCCCAACACAAAGUGCAGCCAAGUUGACUCUCAAACAUGGCUCAGCACUGCCCUAACAAACCUCGAAACCUGUCGAGCCGGGUUCGUCGAGCUCGGUGUCUCGGACUAUCUCUUGCCCUUGAUGUCCAACAACGUUUCCAAGCUCAUCAGCAACACUCUAUCACUCAACAAGGUCCCAUACACUGAGCCUAGCUACAAAGAGGGGUUCCCAACUUGGGUCAAGCCUGGUGACCGGAAGCUUCUGCAGUCAUCUUCUCCGGCUUCACAGGCAAAUAUCGUGGUGGCAAAGGAUGGUUCCGGUGAUUACACAACAAUAACAGCAGCAGUAUCGGCCGCGUCGAAGCGAUCGGGGACUGGAAGGUACGUGAUAUAUGUGAAGGCAGGGACAUACAAUGAGAAUAUUGAGAUUGGAGCUAAAUUGAAGAAUAUCAUGCUGUUGGGUGACGGUAUCGGAAAGACCAUCAUCACCGGAAGCAAGAGCGUCGGAGGAGGCUCCACCACCUUCAAUUCAGCCACCGUUGGUAAACAUCCGAGCUCCUAUAUCAAUCUUUUAGAAAUCAUAUAUUCAUUUCAAAGAAUUAUAUACUGAGUCUCCAAGAAAAUAAAUGAGAAUAGCGAUUUGAAGAAUCUACUAAAAGUCUAAAAGUAUACUUUAUGGAACUGGUAUAGAAAAACUAGACGAAGAAAAUUAAAAAAGUACAUAUAUAUAUAUAUAUAUAUAUAUGAUGAAUGAAGUGUUCACAUUCAAGGAGACAGUAGUUUGCAAGGCCAACUCGCUAGUGAGUGACCCAGCUGAGUUGUCAACUCAAAACUAAGUCUAAGACACGGUUGGAAAUUCUAGGUAGGUCUUUGUAAGCUGUCUAGAAAUUCGAACACUGAGCUUCUAUUGUUGACAAAAAGGCUUCAGUUGUAUGUUAAAAAAAAUUAAUUAAUAGCAGAAUGUCAAGAGGGUAAUAAUAUUUUCAUUGAUAAAGUAAAUGUUAUUAAUUUAAUAAAUACAAAAGACUAUAGAAUAUGUCAAAUAUUUUCUAAUGGCAGCCAAUGGGGGUCGAGUUGAAUUUGAGUCGAGUCGGUGAGUUUCAUGCUGAGAUUCUCUAGUAAAAAAGUGCUUUACGUCACACACAGAAACGUCCAGAUAAAUAAGGUCAACCAGCUAAGGGACGAUGCAUCACAUGGCUUACCGUUUAUGGGACCAUAGUUUAGCUACCUAGCUUGAUGGUCCUGGACCCCAAAACCCUAUUGGAUAAGUCCAAAAUCUGUACAAUUUUUAUACGUAGACCCCGGUCCACCAACAGAACAAGUCAUACAAAUUGAUGUGUCUGAUUUGAUUAAUUAAAUUAGACAACAGAGAUUGCUUGUGCCGAUCAAACAUUGUCCUAACUACCAUUAAUUUUUUCAAUUUCUUGAAUUCCUUAUAUAGCAUGGAGUGAAACUGACAAAUUCAUCCCCUAAACUUUAAACCUUUGACCCUAAACCGCUUGUUUUGAACUUUCAGCUGCGGUUGGAGAUGGAUUCAUCGGUCGAGGGCUGACGAUCCGCAACACUGCCGGAGCAGCAAACCACCAGGCAGUGGCUCUCCGGUCGGGGUCCGAUCUCUCGGUGUUCUACCAGUGCAGCUUUGAAGGGUACCAAGACACUCUCUACGUCCACUCCGAGAGACAAUUCUACAGAGAAUGUGACAUCUACGGAACAGUAGAUUUCAUUUUUG
rnacentral:lncRNA from 1 species